UCUAAUGUGUAUGUGUAAUAUAACAAGGUCACUUUGGUGACUAACAAGUUAUAUACAAUAUAAACACUAAAAAACUUUAAUAGGUAAAUUUAUCUUUAUAUUAUGUUAAUAUUUUAAAACUAAACCAGACAUUUCACUUAAUCAACCUAAACCAACAGUUUAAGCCAUAUUCUUUAACAAUGAACGCUUUUAUCCAUAUGCCAUAAACGAUCAAUUCCCAGAACAUGUAUAUGCAACUUUAACAAUGAUUCAUUUAUUAGAAACAGAAUCUAAUUAGAACAGUUAUUUCAAUCAUCAAAUGCAUUUACGUGAAUGAUCAAAACACCACUAACCAUCAUUUCUAUGAUUCCAUCUACGACACUUACAUGCACACACAAUAAAAAAACUGUUCGUUAUUGCAAGUGCAACAGAAUCUAACCAUUGAAUUUCAACCUUAAUAAUUCCACAUGUUCCCAACAAUAAAAGGUUACGAUCAUGGUGACGAACAAAAGUUACGAUCAUGCAACAAAAUUCCAGAACCGUUUAUAAACCUUUUAACAUGCGUCGACAGUGAUGAAAGAACAUGGUAAAUUAAUAAAUCUAGAUCUGCUCUGAUACCAAAAUAUUAAUCUAACUUUAUGAUUUCUAUUAUGAAAUCUAAAUCCCAAAGAUCAUCUAGAUUUAAUUUAAUUCAACCAUGAACAGUCUCUUAUAAAAGAAGAAACACUAACCUUGAUCCAUUGCUUGAUUGGGUUUGAUGAUGGAUUCAAGUCUUCUUCACAGAUUGAUUUCUUCUUCCCUUACUCCUUAUUGCUUUCCUGUGAUCUUUGAUGAAGAAGAUCACUAAUCUCUUCUUUUGUUUUUAAUCAGUG
rnacentral:lncRNA from 1 species